GUUCUACUGACUGAAGUGAUCCUAUCUUGUGACUCAUGCAUGGCACGUCUAUAAGUCAAGCUGGAAUCCUCUAAAAUAAGUCACAUGGGAAAAAAUUCUGAUCUUAUUCUAGACGAAGAAUGAAAAGCCAGGAAGCUACAUAACCCAAGAAACAACAGUCAGAUGCCAAUAACCAGGAACCACCUGCAGGACAAGCUAAGCCCAGAAAUGCUGCCUUCACCUGAACUUCUGCCUCAGUGCGAGACCUGACCUGAUUUCUUGCCUCUUUCUCAUACCAACAUUUCCAUCCAGUGGGGAGAAAUGUACCUUGCUGGGUGCAAAAAGUGCCAAUGCAAAAGAAAAUGCAAGACUGCGCAUACUUAACCCCUCCUGGAAGAACAAACUUUUUUCAAGGAAUCCCCACCCCUGUCUCCACCUACCUGCCCAAAAGUCCUUAAAAAUUUCCCUUUACUCUACUUCCAGGGAGAAGGUGCUUUGAGCAUGAGCUCCCGUUCUCCAUUACUUGAUCAAUGAAUGGAAUUUCUGCACUGUUUUGCCAAACCUGGUCUCCUUAUAUUAGUGUGAAAGGCACCAGGCACGGGGAAAAAAAAAAACCAUCAGGGUCAAGGGAGGCCCUUUGAGGGUCAGUUGAUAAGGGGACUACAUGAAUUUUUUUUUUUUUUUUUUUUUUUUUUAGACCGAGUCUAGUUCUGUCGCCCAGGCUGGAGUGCAGUGACGCGAUCUCGGCUCACUGCAGCUCCGCCUCCCGGGUUCACCCCAUUCUCCUGCCUCAGCCUCCCGAGUAGCUGGGACUACAGGCGCCCGCGACCAUGCCCGGCUAAUUUUUUGUGUUUUUAGUAGAGACGGGGUUUCACCAUGUUAGCCAGGAUGAUCUCGAUCUCCUACCUCAUGAUCCGCCCGCCUCGGCCUCCCAAAGUGCUGGGAUUACAGGCGUGAGUCACCGCACCUGGCAAGAUUUUUUCUUGUUUUUAAUUCACAUCAAGGCAUUCUAUUAAAUUUAGUAAUGUUUUCCAAGAGUUUUCUCAAUGCUCUUAUGCUCAGCUUCUCCGGAACUUUCAUACAAAAUGAAAAUAGUUUUGCUGAUUAUUGGUUGCAAUAAGCUAUAGGGAAGAGUACAGAUCUCUGGGCUGAAAAGGGAUAUCUUAGGGCCUGAAGUUGUGCCAUGGGAUUAGCAAACUGGAUGGAUAUCAUUUCUUAUUAGAUAUUUAUUAAAAAUGCCUGGGGCUCUUUUAAAAGCUACCAAGCACUCAAGCUCUGCUCACCCCAGACAAAUUAAAUCUGAGUCUCUGAAGGUGUUCCAGUAG
rnacentral:lncRNA from 1 species